rnacentral:lncRNA from 1 species
CAUUUGGUCUAGUGGUUUGAUUCUCGCUUUGGGUGCGAGAGGUCCUGAGUUCGAUUUGCUGAGUGCCCCUUUUGAAGGUUAAGAGUUUAACUUUUUCAAUAUUUUAGUUUAAUACAGGAAGCUCGGUGUUUUUUAUUUAUUGUUGAAGAUCUGGAAGCUGACAAGGUUGACUUAUUAAUUGGUUAGUUAAAAUACCCAUAAACAUCAGUUUUUAAGCCUCAAAGAUGAAUGCUGUGAUACAUGUAUAAUGUAUUAGUAUCCAGAUUUUUGUCCUAAUGUGAUAAAGUCUCCAUUUAAAAUUACAAUUGACAAAUAGUUUCUUUUAUAAUCAUGUGAAAAAGUUGCAUUGUUGUCUGAGAUGAAGUGUUGAGUAAAAAGCCAACACAAAAAAGAUUGUGGUCCAUGAGGAUGCUGCAAUGGAUGAGGGGAAAUACUAGACGAGGAAGGAUCCCUAACAAAA